rnacentral:rRNA from 4 species
AGACCCGAAACCCGGUGAUCUAGCCAUGGGCAGGUUGAAGGUUGGGUAACACUAACUGGAGGACCGAACCGACUAAUGUUGAAAAAUUAGCGGAUGACCUGUGGCUGGGGGUGAAAGGCCAAUCAAACCGGGAGAUAGCUGGUUCUCCCCGAAAGCUAUUUAGGUAGCGCCUCGUGAAUUCAUCUCCGGGGGUAGAGCACUGUUUCGGCUAGGGGGCCAUCCCGGCUUACCAACCCGAUGCAAACUGCGAAUACCGGAGAAUGUUAUCACGGGAGACACACGGCGGGUGCUAACGUCCGUCGUGAAGAGGGAAACAACCCAGACCGCCAGCUAAGGUCCCAAAGUCAUGGUUAAGUGGGAAACGAUGUGGGAAGGCCCAGACAGCCAGGAUGUUGGCUUAGAAGCAGCCAUCAUUUAAAGAAAGCGUAAUAGCUCACUGGUCGAGUCGGCCUGCGCGGAAGAUGUAACGGGGCUAAACCAUGCACCGAAGCUGCGGCAGCGACGCUUAUGCGUUGUUGGGUAGGGGAGCGUUCUGUAAGCCUGUGAAGGUGGCCUGUGAGGGUUGCUGGAGGUAUCAGAAGUGCGAAUGCUGACAUAAGUAACGAUAAAGCGGGUGAAAAGCCCGCUCGCCGGAAGACCAAGGGUUCCUGUCCAACGUUAAUCGGGGCAGGGUGAGUCGACCCCUAAGGCGAGGCCGA